rnacentral:rRNA from 1 species
GACGAACGCUGGCGGCGUGCUUAACACAUGAAAGUCGAACGGAAAGGCCCUGCUUGCAGGGUACUCGAGUGGCGAACGGGGGAGUAACACGUGGGUGAUCUGCCCUGCACUUCGGGAUAAGCCGGGGAAACUGGGUCUAAUACCGGAUAGGAGCCAUUUUUAGUGUGAUGGUUGGAAAGUUUUUUCGGUGUAGGAUGAGCUCGCGGCCUAUCAGCUUGUUGGUGGGGUAAUGGCCUACCAAGGCGGCGACGGGUAGCCGGCCUGAGAGGGUGGACGGCCACAUUGGGACUGAGAUACGGCCCAGACUCCUACGGGAGGCAGCAGUGGGGAAUAUUGCACAAUGGGCGCAAGCCUGAUGCAGCGACGCCGCGUGGGGGAUGACGGCCUUCGGGUUGUAAACUCCUUUCGCUAGGGACGAAGCUUUUUGUGACGGUACCUAGAUAAGAAGCACCGGCUAACUACGUG